CUAUACUUAUAUUUCUAUAUAUUUUUCUAUUACAAAUUCAUCCAGUCGUUCUUCUAUCAGUCAACCUAAACAGGGUCUGCAAUUUAGAACUAGAUUUCAUUUUUCGAAACAUUCGCCAUUAGUCUGAGUUUUUCACGGCAGCGAAGCUGCUUGGUUCGUUUCCUGGGAUAAUUAUCGAAUGUAGCAUGGAGAAGACUUUGGAGAAGAGAUCUCAUAACUUACGUCUAAUGAGCUUACGUUGCUUGCGAUGUUUUUAAUGAAUACUAAUGAACUCUAAAAUUUCGUUCUCCUUUCCUCCAAAGGAAAAGUCCGGUCUGCGAAGCGAGCUUUUUUAACCGAGAAUAAUUGCACUCAUUCUCGUAGGAACGGUCUAUGAAUGAGAAAGAAAAGGACAACUUUUUUUUCUUUAAUCUAACAAACAAAUUCUACGAUGUUCGCUUCUUUUCUCAUCGUCUUAAAUCGCCUUAAUUAACAAUGAAUUAUGAAAUGGAAAGAUUGCAACUUUUUGACGAAAUAUUUAUUGGCAGAAUAACCGAUGCUGUUACGUAGGUGAGUUGUAAAGUAGAAUUCAACUGGAAUUAUAGUGGAUUUUAUUAUUGAGCCAAUUAAUCAACUCUUUCUCUCUCUCUCUCUUCUCGUUGGUAAUUAAGCAGAGAUUAAAAGUUUUCGUUCUAUUUAUUUCUCCGUUACGAGUUCAGACAAUAAUCGUAACGAACGUCCACAGAAUAUUAUUCAUUUGUGAAACAGGAUGUUGAAAAAUUCGUUUAAUUCGGUCGACUAAUAAUGACAUCUUCGUUUGCAUCAGACGUUUGAGAAAUGUUGCAGUUAAACUUUGAACAGCGAUUUGUCGAUCUAUAGUAUAAUAAUUUAUGAUACAGAGAACUAUAGUUAAAGUACAGUUCUCGAGAAGACUACAGAAAAUGCUUUCGUUCAACGAAUAUCUGUAAAAAUAUCAUUAUAUCAGAUAUUCGAACGUCUACGUUUCUAAAUAUCCAAAUUUAUUUUAAAUAAAAUGCAAAUCAUUUUGAGAAAUAAAAAAACAUUCAAAUUACAUAAACGAUGAAAUACAAAUAUUGACGAGAUGAAAUUCCUUUUUUUUUUGUACCUGACCGAAGUGUCGAGCGUUAAAACAGCUACUCGUUUCGUAGAAUCUCGCUCGAAGGUUUCAAACAUUCGUCGCAAGCAAAGCAGACGAGCCACUCUAUCGGGUGUUCUAAUAACGCACGCGAACAUCCAGUGAACACGCUAAUAGACAACAAUAUAUCCAUUCGUGUUUUAUGAUACAUCCUCUGUAUCUCGUAAUAUUCGUUCCAAGCUAGGAAAGAAUCAUAACGAAUCGUAAAAAAAGAAAAUAAAAAAAAAAACGGAUAUGAGAGGAAAAAAGAAAUGACGAGAACAAACGAUGGGUAGGUCAUCGGCUAAAUAUUUUCGUUUGCUGUGAAUCGACCGAUUUACUUCGAUGUCAGCGGUAUCGAGCCUGAUGUUUCGUUAAUAUUUUGCGAACAGCACGUCGAGCAUCGUUUCGAUAUUCGCACAGCUUUUCCUCUUUUAUAGUUUUCAUUUCUAUCUAGAUAUGUCGCAACAAUAGAGUUGCAGCUUCGUUCUGCAUAUUUCCUUUCCUAUCUUUUUUUCGUCUGUAUAUCUUUUUUUACCUCGAAGCGAACUCAGCUUCAAACGUAACCUUUAUACGAGAAUAUGGCUGUGUUGCCAAUUGUUCACUUGCCUGGCAACGAGACGGAUGAAUGAACAUUUACAAAAUUAAACGGAUCAAGUUAUCUUAUCGAGAAAUUCAAUCCCCCGCGGCAUCUCGUCGAAUUUUAUUUACUUUUAACGUCUCGUCGCCGAUCUACGUUUCAUAUUUCUCCACGAGGAACGCUCGUCCAGUCGAUCUAUCCGACUUUCUUUCCAAAUUACUGUUUUCUGUCUUCGUUAUUCAAUAUGUACAGUACAUCCUUCCAUGGAACGCUAGAAGGAAACUGUUAGCUCAGUUUAACAAAAUUGUUGCUAGUACUUCACACUCUGACAGUCGUAGCAAAAAAUUUUUUUUAUUAUUUAAUUUGUACUUUACAAUUUGUCCAGCUGGACAUUCGGUAAAUUCGGGGAGUUCUCUGGAAGAAAGAUUCUAUAGGUCUAUUAGAGAUAUAUACGGACUUUCUUUCAUUUCAUAAAUAUAAAGAAGAGAAAAUUUCUUUAAGUUCAAUUGUAAUCAUAAGACUGCGAAUUUGUAUAUUACAUUUGUGGAAAAUUUGAAAAUGCAAAAAUGCACUUAAUGUAUAUGAAAAUAUAGAAAUUUAUCCAACGUAUAAUCCUCUCUAUAACGUUCGGUAGGUAAAGUAAUUCUCUAUUUGGGUUUCAGUUUUUUAAUUGUAUUUAUGGAAGUAUCGUUUUGUAUAAAUAUUCACGGUUUGAUAAUUACCAAUUCGAAUGUACCUAAUAUUAAAAGACUAGAACUAAUACUUUCGACGCAGUCUUAUGAGUCUCUUUUCUCAGAAGUAUAGUAUACAAUAAGUAUAGGCAGCAAUAACGAGAUAUAAUAACAUUAAAAAUAUGAACUAUAUAGUAUAUCAUACGUCUCGUGUUAUACUAUUUGCAAUAGGUAUUACGUAUUGUUCGAGAACAUUGAGUUUGAGGAUGUUUUCGAAACGAGCAAUUUGCAUCGAUACCCAGCUUUCUCUACGGAUCAUAUUUCUGUUUUCUCUUGGUUUCAGGCAGCGACUCUUUGUUGGUCUCAAUUAGCGUGACGCGUAACGAGCUGCAGCUCGUUAGCUGACCGAUUCGUUGAUAAAAUACACGAUUCCAUGAUCCCUGUACAACCAACUGGAUUUUUCGUUUUAAUUACUCUUUCCUCUUAAAACUUUCAAACCUUUAGAUCAACCGGAUUCUAGUUGCCUGAAUGAUAACCAUAAUAGCACUUUCUUAACUGGCAAAGAUUUUGCUUCGUUCACUGUUACGAUCUCCACCAGUUCUAGUAACUGAUUGAUGGUGCUUCAAAAGCACCCUUCGAUCGAGUUAACCCUUUGCACUUCUAUAUCGAGUGUGAUUCGACAUCAAUUUUUAUCUCAGGAGUUCCUUUGUCGAGUCCCACUCGACAUUCUUUCAUGUCCAAAUCAAUAGAUGUCGCGCACAGGUUAUCGAUGCUCUUACCGAACUGGCUUACUUACCUAACUUAUAUCAAUCUGCUCAGAGUUUGAAAAUUGUAUACCUGUCACCCUCUAAAUAUUUACAACGAGUGAAAGGCGCGAAAUAAAUAAGGACUUUGACAGUAGUGGUAGUGAUGACUAUAUGCGAGAAGUAGAUCUUGAGUACAAUAUAGUCGCUAAGCGUUGGGAGCUGCUGGUAACGAAAUUGAAAUAAAAUUCCGAGUGCAAAUGGUUAAUACUAUGGAGGAAAUUUUGGCGAAAUUAGCAAUGUUAAUCAAUUCCAUCGUAUGACAGUAACAGGCUUGACAAUAAGACGAAGAUUUACAAGUGAAUUGUACGAAUUACAAUUCGAUCGAUGGUAUUUACGAUACAAAAUUGUAAGAAUAUGAAAACUGUUUGUGUAAUAAAUGUUUAUAACCUAUGCUUUGUCACUUGGUAAUUUACUAUCGUGUAAAAAGGUUUCAGUUUUACGUUCGUUAAAUAAAUAAUUAUGCCAGAUGUUCGUGUCUCGUUCGUAUUCGACGAAGAAAAGAGAAAUAUACUUUCUUCGAUAAUUGAUCAAUAAAGAGGUAAGAUCGCGACUAGUGGCCAAUUAGCAAACUAAUCGUAGCAAUCGGCUACUCUAGCACGCAACUUCGUGCUAUCCUUCUGGUCGUUAGCUUUUAUUUUAUUUUUUAUUUUUUCUAUUAUUUAAUUUGUACUUUACAAUUUGUCCAGCUGGACAUUCGGUAAAUUUUUCUAGUGCUUUUAUUUGAAAACAUACCACGACGCCAGAAAUUGCAACGGAUCCAUGAUCCAGCCAAAGCGAGCCAUCGAGCCUCUCCUAUGCCUCCUUCCACACCACUUUUCUGAAGAUGCUAUCGUCGAACGUUUAAGUGAAAGCUCUAGAACCACACAGACUACGCGUGAACGCGCGUUUUACACAGAAAAACGGAGAAACACGGAGCAACUACGCGCGACGAAGAGACGUGGAUUUUAAAGGGAAUAAUAGAUAUAUAUAUAUAUAGUUAGGUUAUCACUCGCGAACUGUAACCGAACUUCACGUGUUCCCGACGCGUCCCAAGAAACAGCCGAAGAAGAAAGAUUUAAUCGAGAGAAGAAAUAUUUUAUUGCAAAGAAAUAUGAAAACCUGUAGGAACCACGUACAACGAGGAGACGUGAAUUCUACAGAUAAGUCGAGAUCGAGAGGAAUAACACACGCCGUACGAGAAAAAGAUACGGAGAUAUAGAGAAUGAAAACACCACACGAUGAAGAAACGUGGCUUUUAAGGAGAAUAUGGUAUAUGGUUAGUACGAUGACUAAGAGAAACGCGGUUGCAAGCAAGAGUGCAGGUGCGUGCACCGGCAGCACUGAAUGCCGGAAUAUCAACGGGAACAUGCUGUUUCAUUCGACCGGCACGAUGGUCCUCGUCACACAUAGCGAUGUAGAUAUUUGUGAGUGCUACACACGCACGAAGAGACAAGAGCGAACGGAUCGAGGGAAAAUGGAACGAGGGAAUGCAAUUUGAGACUGUUAAAAUGUCAGCGAUUUUUGCGACCGGACAGGAAAUGUUUAUUAACGGCCGUUGCCGGCACCAGGUUUUAUACAGCCGGAUUUCGUUUCGCUGAAAUACGGCUGUUUGGAAAACCGAUAAUGCGUGUAAAAAUGUUCGUGUCACCGAGAGGCGGUGCGAAAGAAGCUGCCGGGAUUCGAUACGGGCGUAGUGUGCGACACGCCAGUUCUGGACUUACGAAUAGCAAGUCACUGUUGAGUCUCACUAACGAACAGUUAAUUUCGCGUAGUAUCACGCUCUUUCCUUUAUUCAUCGUGACAGCGUCAGUUCGUAAUAGCGUGAGCAAUUUUAUAAUACGUUUUUGUGCUACUUGAUCGAAACGAUGUCCAAUCAAUACUCCAGUCAAAGGGCAGAGUAGCUCCUGACAAUUUUCACAAGUGGCGAUACUAUAAGAAAGUAAACUUGACAAUGAGAAACGUAAUAUUAGAUCGUCUAAGCAAUGCAUUCGACAGAUGAAACUAAGUGAAAAUUGUUUAAAAGCAAUAGGAUAUUGUAGAAAACCAGCAUGAUCGCAUGAAAUCCUACUAUUCUGCUCUAUAGUUAAAUCUAUUCUGAUACUUUUAUUAGUGUGAAACGUAGUUUCGCAGAACAUAUCAAAACAUUUUCACGGAAGAGCAGAAUAUUGUAAAAGUCGUACACGAUCAUAAAAAACGUCUAUCGUGAUAAAUGCGUAAAUAUUGAAUAAUACAGCAGACAUACGUACUACUUUUUUUUUUAUUUAUUUAUUAAAAUUACAAUCAAUUCUCGCGUUGAGAAUUUUCAGUAAUUUUUCUGGCGUGGCGCAGUGACAUGGCUGAUUAUUUAUAAUAAAUUAAUACUUAUUAUAGAUAAGUAUAAUUUAUAAGUAAGUAUUAUAAAUAAGUGAAUAUUACUUAAUUUAGAUAACUAAUUGAAUCUAGCGUUUAGGUCUAGCGGGUAGUGCCCCCAUACGUACUACAUGAAAACUAAACCAAAUCACAGAGACUACACUACCACAUAGUCAGUCCGGCUAUGUUACCAUCGAUAUACCAUCGUGGAGCUCUUUCCGUAUCAUCGGACAGUAAAAACGUAUCGGCACGCUCUAUUUGUUUGUUCGUUUCAGUCAAGUAUUUGCAUCCAUAUCUCGCCUUGAGACGAGAGUAGACGUUCUUAAAGCAUUCGAGGGCGAGACACGAUCGCGAUGCAUUAAUCUAAAAAAUUGAUGAACCGCGAUACAACAGUCUGUCUUUCUCCUCUCAUUUCACCUCCUGUGAACUGUGCGAUGGAAACAAAAGAAUUAACCUCGACCGAUAGAAUCGUCCGCGGUAAUUGCUCGUUGGGGCGACAAAAUGUUCGCUAGAAACACGAAUACUUCUAUCGAUGGAGAAAAGAACGCUGGAACAGUUGACCUGUUUCGAGUAGUUGCUCUGUAUACGAUACACGACACACGCGUCGCCCAUUGUACGGUUAGCGAGCGCGAAUACGUUAUUACUUGCUAUUAUCGCCGCUACCGAAUGUUUCAUAUUGUUUUCCAUUCUUCAACGAUUUCUCAACAUCGUUCGAAUGCAGUCGAGGUAGAAAAAUAUUCAGCCGAGAACGUUUUACGGUUUCUACAAAUUUAUUACCGCGGCUUUAUUAUCUUCCGUUUGACAAAUUGCGUUGAUAAGUGUACUUCGCAGCGUGGCUCGAACAAUUCUCUUGAUUCUUUGAAAGGUUUACGAUACCUCCAUCGCGCCAUGAUUUUCUCGAACGUGUAUAGAUUUUUAUAUUUUACGUCCAGUAGUUUACGAUCUGCGUUCUGCUGUUCUUAUCAUCUGGGUUAUUCAGCAACCAAUGUUUCUGGUAACAAUGAAAUGCUUCUUACGAGAUUUUGUAUAUUAUUGUUAUUUGAUAACUAUCGUAUUAUUUCUCUCUUUUUUCGGUUAUCUUUAUGAUAUAGAUUAAAAAGGAAACACCCAACAGAUCUCACAAAGGACAUAACCUAACAAACAAACACUCACCAAACUAAAGAAAUAAAUCAAUCAAAUUCGAAGAUGGUAUCCCACUGGGGGUAGCCAUCCACAUGUUAUAUUAUUAUACCACUAAGCUAUAAUAUUUUACCAAAUGCCCUACUGGACAAAUUGUAAAAUGUAAAUAAAUAAAUAAAAAAAAAUCUUUAUGAUAUAUAAACUUUGUGAAACUGUCCUGAAACAGCCAAGAUUUUUAUCACCAGGUUUACAUCAAAUAAUUUAUAUAUAGUAUAAUUUAUAUAUAUAGAUCUGGCUCUCGUAAUUGUAUAAAUAUUGUAUAGCAAUGUUCAAAUUAUAUAUAUAUAUAUAGAUCCAGAUAGUUUUUAAUUUGAAAAUUGCUGUUUACCCUGAUCUAAUUUAAAUUUGUAUAAUUGCAAGGGGAAACAUAUCAUUUCAGUUAAUCAUCAACGAAGGUUCGAUUAACGAUCUUCAUUUCAAAAUGUUAUUUAUUUCGAAAUAACAUUUAUUAAGUAAUAAUCUAAUGGUAAAGCGGGUUAUAUCUGAAAUUCUGCAAAGGCUUUAAUUAAAAAGAUUAUUGAAUUCCUGUCGAGUAAGAUCUGUCUCAUUACGAGAGUAUUUAAUCUACCGAAAUUUCAGAUUCCUCAAUGAGAGAGAGAAAUUUCGAUAGACAUGUUCCACGAGUAGAAAGUUCUUGGAAAAAAAGGAGAAACAUGUUCGUUUCGAUUGAAACCGAGACUGUUCGUCCUCGGAACUAGGACACGAUUCUUCUGCUAAUUUGAAAGCAGUUUAUUAAUUUAUCAGCGGCUGAAUUUUUUCGAAAAACCGGGCGAUACUUCGUUCAAGCGAAUUUUUUUAGAAUUUUUCAUCUUAAUUACAGAGACGCAGGCGAUUUCGGAUAAAAUGUUUUUGUUUAAAAGUUUCCCUUUGCCCACUUAACCCCGUUCACUACGUUCGUGAAAUUCUGUGUUUCGCAUUGUAAAUUGCUUGCAGAUAAUUAUCUUAGAAUAUUCGCGCGGUCGAACGUGUCCUGUAAAUUAACUAGAAGAGAGAUAGCGAGGGAAAAGGAAGAGAAAUUUGAAGUGUAUAGGCCGUGAUAGUUGUAGUUGCGGAUGUAGAUGUCACUGCUGGGGUACUGCUGCUUUUCUACUAAUUUAGAUGCGUGGAAAGAAAAAUGGGACCAUGGGAUUUGAACCUGGGUCCCGAACGUUCAUAACCUAAGGCGCUAACCACUGCGCUGCUGUCGUCUGACACUAGUUGGCGUCGUCCGGUGGUAUUUGCUGUCGAGUGUCGCCACAAAUUAAAUGAUUUUUCAUUAACCACCAUUUUAAACUUUCAAAUGAUCAACAUUUGUUUGGGCGAAAUGUCUUAAUGGAAAUGCUUCCAAAAUGUGGGAUAUUUUGAAUGUACAGAAAUUCUUGACAAAUGUUAUUACCAAUGCGAGUUAUAUAUUGAGUUGGCAACUAAGUGAUUGCGAAUUUUGGAUUGGAACAAAGGAAUCUACAGGAAUUCUACGAUAUUUUCAAAUCACCACCUUAUUCCAUUUCUCAUAAUCCCAAAAUACCAAAAUUGCAAAAAAGUCUCGGCUCUAGAAAUUAUGCAAAAUUUUCUUUACAUCUAAUAUAUUUCAAUCUUCUCUCACUUUGAAAAUUCCCAAACUUCUAUUAACGGAGUUAUGCUAAUGGAAUUGCACAAAAACUUUUCACUGUCUCUCAUUUUGCUUCUUUGGUAUCUUGGGAAAUUUUGAAAUUUUCGCUAUUGAAUGGAAAGUAUAUUUAACAGUAUAUCUGUAGCUGAUUUAGAUUUACAAAUUGUUGAUUGCAUUAAAAGGUAGCAAGUGUUGCUUUGUAUAUAUGUAAGAUCGUUAAUCACGUGGUAAUUCAGGUGAUCGAUUCUGAAGUCUGAAAAUCGAGUUUAUUGUGAAAAUACUUAAAUGAAAUACAGGACUAAAUAAUAACAAUUAAUAACGGUAAUAAUUAAAUAACAACAACCAAUUAAUAACAGUAAACAAUAAAUAACAAGUUUUGUGCAGUGUCUACCUGAAAAUCGAGAAUCGAUUUUCAACGUUCUGAGCUAUCGAUCUUUCUCCGUCAAUCUUCAAUGUUUUAAAUAAUUACUCUUUCUUCUAUGGUCUUGUCUAUCUCUGAUGUUGCUCUCUGUCCGUCCGUUUGGGAAAUGAGCGUCUCUCAAGAUGGCUGUCCGUAAACAAAGAAAGUCGUUCUGUUCGUGAAACAAAGAAAGUCCCUAGCACCCUUGAACUCUAGGGAGUUUACAUAUAUAUAUAUAUACUUAAUAUAAUAAUUUUAUUAAUAUCAAUUUUUAUUUUAUG